UGGUUUUUAAAGACAUCACAGGCAACAACAAAGAGCGGAACAGCUUCACAUGAUGGGCCUUCAGCAGCAGGAACAAUCAUCCUCCAAGCUGCUGCAGGCCGAUCAUUGUCAGUGUGAGCUGAAUUGAAGAGAUAAUGAGCUACAGCCAAGGCUCUUCUGUGGACUCUGCAGUGGUCGAUGUCCCGCCUCGUAAGUCUGCAGAAGAUGCUGCAGAAUCAGCAAAGACCCCACCGCAGGGUUUUCACACUCGUGCCCUCUGGCAGGAGAUUGGCAACGGUCACAAUUUUCAGGAGUUUUCCAGAGGCGGUAGUCAAACCGGACGCCCCUGAUUUGCAUAAAGUUGCCUGGGUUGAACAUUAUGCAAAUGAGGA